rnacentral:rRNA from 1 species
GAUGAACGCUGGCGGCGUGCCUAAUACAUGCAAGUCGAGCGAACGGACGAGAAGCUUGCUUCUCUGAUGUUAGCGGCGGACGGGUGAGUAACACGUGGAUAACCUACCUAUAAGACUGGGAUAACUUCGGGAAACCGGAGCUAAUACCGGAUAAUAUUAUGAACCGCAUGGUUCAAAAGUGAAAGACGGUCUUGCUGUCACUUAUAGAUGGAUCCGCGCUGCAUUAGCUAGUUGGUAAGGUAACGGCUUACCAAGGCAACGAUGCAUAGCCGACCUGAGAGGAUGAUCGGCCACACUGGAACUGAGACACGGUCCAGACUCCUACGGGAGGCAGCAGUAGGGAAUCUUCCGCAAUGGGCGAAAGCCUGACGGAGCAACGCCGCGUGAGUGAUGAAGGUCUUCGGAUCGUAAAACUCUGUUAUUAGGAAAGAACAUAUGUGUAAGUAACUGUGCACAUCUUGACGGUACCUAAUCAGAAAGCCACGGCUAACUACGUG